rnacentral:rRNA from 1 species
GACGAACCGUGCGAACGUUGUUCGGAUUCACUGGGCUUAAAGGGCGCGUAGGCGGUCGACCAAGUCUGGGGUGAAAUCUUUCGGCUUAACCGGAAAAGUGCCCCCGAUACUGGCCGGCUAGAGGGAGAUAGGGGCAUGUGGAACUUCCGGUGGAGCGGUGAAAUGCGUAGAUAUCGGAAGGAACGCCGGUGGCGAAAGCGACGUGCUGGAUCUCUUCUGACGCUGAGGCGCGAAAGCAAGGGGGAUCAAACAGG